UAUAAGAGACAGAGCGUAAGCAAGGAGACGACGGUUUGGCUUCAAUUUAAAAAUCAAAUUAACGGCUUUAUCAUCAAACAUGAUGAACGGGGCCGUGACUUUAACUUCAACGGAGGGAGAGAGUUUACCUCAGGAGACAGGCUCCUCAUCAAGUGAGACCUACAAAUCACCAUUUUAGCACGAAUUCAGUGUAAGUACCUCAGGCAGGCAAACCUAUUUGAAUUGGAUUGCAGAUGAAACAAUUUAGAUAGCUCAGCUUGCCUGAAAUUAGUGAGGAGAUGCAGGGGAAUACAUAUGCACUGGUAAUUUUCUACCACGGUUUAAAGUGUGUAAAUAAAUAUCUGCUGAGGAUAGAUCACGUUGAGUUAAGAUGGUCAAGACUGCCAACACUCAUCAUCUAGCUGUGAAGAAUGGUUGUUCGGAUGAUAUAUUGAAGCAUGGUUGGUACCCGUGGAACUGUAUCUCUGAAAAUAUUGCCAACCUCAGCAAACAGUCGAAGAACAUCAGAAAAAAAAUAGUGCUGCAGGCCUUUGUAUAAUCUCAUGUUAGCAAUGAUGAUCUAUUACUGUAUAUAUCUUUAAUGAAUGUUAAAUGGGAAAACUUUGAAGGCAAGUACCUGUAAUGAAUAAAUUCUACAUUCUAACUUAA